GGAGUCUGGGCCGUGUCUCAGUCCCAAUGUAGCCGUUCAUCCUCUCAGACCGGCUACCGAUCGUCGCCUCGGUGGGCCGUUACCCCGCCGACAAGCUAAUCAGACGCAUCCCCAUCCCACAGCGAUAAAUCUUUCCUCCUCAUUAGAUGCCCGCAAAGGAGAACAUAGGGCAUUAAUCCGACUUUCGCCGGGCUAUUCCCUACUGAGGGCCAGGUUGGAUACGCGUUACUCACCCGUGCGCCGGUCGCCAUCAGAGUCAGCAAGCUGACUCCAUGCUGCCCCUCGACUUGCAUGUGUUAAGCCUGUAGCUAGCGUUCAUC
rnacentral:rRNA from 1 species